rnacentral:rRNA from 1 species
CAUGCAAGUCGAGCGGUAAGGCCCUUCGGGGUACACGAGCGGCGAACGGGUGAGUAACACGUGGGUGAUCUGCCUCGCACUCUGGGAUAAGCCUGGGAAACUGGGUCUAAUACCGGAUAUGAGCCUGGACUGCAUGGUCGGGGUUGGAAAGGUUUACUGGUGCGAGAUGGGCCCGCGGCCUAUCAGCUUGUUGGUGGGGUAACGGCCUACCAAGGCGACGACGGGUAGCCGGCCUGAGAGGGCGACCGGCCACACUGGGACUGAGACACGGCCCAGACUCCUACGGGAGGCAGCAGUGGGGAAUAUUGCACAAUGGGCGAAAGCCUGAUGCAGCGACGCCGCGUGAGGGAUGACGGCCUUCGGGUUGUAAACCUCUUUCGACAGGGACGAAGCGCAAGUGACGGUACCUGUAGAAGAAGCACCGGCCAACUACGUGCCAGCAGCCGCGGUAAUACGUAGGGUGCGAGCGUUGUCCGGAAUUACUGGGCGUAAAGAGCUUGUAGGCGGUCUGUCGCGUCGAUUGUGAAAAUUCACAGCUCAACUGUGAACCUGCAGUCGAUACGGGCAGACUAGAGUACUUCAGGGGAGACUGGAAUUCCUGGUGUAGCGGUGAAAUGCGCAGAUAUCAGGAGGAACACCGGUGGCGAAGGCGGGUCUCUGGGAAGUAACUGACGCUGAGAAGCGAAAGCGUGGGUAGCGAACAGGAUUAGAUACCCUGGUAGUCCACGCCGUAAACGGUGGGUACUAGGUGUGGGUUUCCUUCCACGGGAUCCGUGCCGUAGCUAACGCAUUAAGUACCCCGCCUGGGGAGUACGGCCGCAAGGCUAAA